UUGUGUAAUUCUUGUAACUGCAACACCAUUGUAUCAUCCCAAUUAUCAUAACCUCCCCGGUUUGCGCAAAUCCUACAGAGAAGGGUCGUUCCAUGAUUUAGCUUGAUUCAUUGUUUCACAAUAAAGUUUUUCGUAGCACCUAACCACCAAGAAUAAUAAGAGGUCGAGCGGAUAAAGGAAAGCAUUAAUCACCUGCGCAGCCACAUUAUUUAUUUUAACGUUUGCCACGAUGCCCGCCACCUGACCUUGCACCAGGGUAGCGAGCAAAUUGCAACCUUAAA
rnacentral:misc_RNA from 1 species